rnacentral:rRNA from 1 species
CCGGGAGGGGGGGGCGCCUAACCAUGCAAGCUCGACGGAGCUUAUAUUUCAGAAGUUUUCGGAUGGACGAGAGAUACGUUUAGAGGCGGACGGGUGAGUAACACGUGAGCAACCUGCCUUUCAGAGGGGGAUAACAGUUGGAAACGACUGCUAAUACCGCAUAACGCUGCGAUGGGGCAUCCCGAUGCAGCCAAAGGAGCAAUCCGCUGGAAGAUGGGCUCGCGGCCGAUUAGCUAGUUGGUGGGGCAACGGCCCACCAAGGCGACGAUCGGUAGCCGGACUGAGAGGUUGAUCGGCCACAUUGGGACUGAGACACGGCCCAGACUCCUACGGGAGGCAGCAGUGGGGGAUAUUGCACAAUGGAGGAAACUCUGAUGCAGCGACGCCGCGUGAGGGAAGACGGUCUUCGGAUUGUAAACCUCUGUCUUUGGGGAAGAAAAUGACGGUACCCAAAGAGGAAGCUCCGGCUAACUACGUGCCAGCAGCCGCGGUAAUACGUAGGGAGCGAGCGUUGUCCGGAAUUACUGGGUGUAAAGGGAGCGUAGGCGGGCGAGAAAGUUGAAUGUUAAAUCUACCGGCUUAACUGGUAGCUGCGUUCAAAACUUCUUGUCUUGAGUGAAGUAGAGGCAGGCGGAAUUCCUAGUGUAGCGGUGAAAUGCGUAGAUAUUAGGAGGAACACCAGUGGCGAAGGCGGCCUGCUGGGCUUUAUCUGACGCUGAGGCUCGAAAGCGUGGGGAGCAAACAGGAUUAUAUACCCUGGUAAUCCACGCUGUAAACGAUGAUUACUAGGUGUGGGGGGA